GGUCACGCAAGUUACCCCAAAAUUCGAAACACACAGUAUAGGCGCGAAAACUGAAGCCAGAGCCAAAUGCGAAAAAGGAAAACACAAGGCACGGAAAAAUUCAUUUGUGAUUUGUGCAGAGCAGACAACGGGUUAAUCAGCUUUGGAGCUUCGUUCACGGAUUUUUUUUUCUGGUGUUUUGGGAUGGUGCAUCCUUUAAACUCUUUAACCCUGUGAAAAUAGCUUGAUAGUUGGUAACAAGAUGAAGGCACACAUGCAUAGGAAAGCCAAAGGACCCUCUAAGAUCAACUCACAACAGGUAGCUUUUGAGCUAAAGAAUAAGGUGAAUCUUGCGCUGAACAAGUUAGCUGAUAGGGAUACAUAUCAACUAGGAGUUGAUGAGCUUGAGAAAACAGCAGAAUGUUUAACACCAGAUAAGAUUUCCCCAUUUUUGUCGUGUAUAUUGGAUACUGAUUCAGAGCAGAAGAGUGCUGUUAGAAAGGAAUCUGUCAGGUUGAUGGCUACAUUAGCUAGAUUUCAUCAGGGCCUUAUACUUCCAUACCUAAGUAAGAUGGUUGCUAGCAUUGUUAAGAGGCUUAAGGACCCAGACUCAGUUGUGAGGGAUGCUUGCCAUGAAACAAUGGGUGUUUUGGCUUCAAAAUUGAGUAAUCAUGAAGAUGAUAAUAAUGGAGUUUUUGUUAUGUUGGUGAAGCCACUUUUUGAAGCAUUAGGUGAACAGAGUAAGCAUGUGCAAUCGGGUGCAGCAUUGUGCUUGGCAAGGGUCAUUGACAGUACCCAUGAUCCUCCAGUUUCCAUUUUGCAGCGGAUGUUGAGUCGGACCAUAAAAUUGCUCAAGAAUCCACACUUAAUGGCAAAAUCAUCAGUAAUUGAGUUAAACAGAAGCAUUAUUCAGGCAGGUGGUGCUACAACACAAAGUCUUCUCGCUGCAGCAAUGGCUAGCAUUCAAGAAGCCCUCAAAAACAGUGACUGGACAACACGCAAAGCUGCUUCUAUAGCAUUGGGGGAGAUUGCUUCAAGUGGUGCUUCUUUUCUGGGAUCUUUCAGGGCUUCCUGCAUCCGUUCCCUUGAGUCUUGUCGUUUUGACAAGGUCAAACCAGUUAGGGACACGGUACUGCAUUCCCUUCAGUACUGGAGAAGCAUUCCCGGACCUGAUACUUCUGAACCUUCUGAGGCUGGAUCUUAUGUAAAAGAAAACUUUUGUGGAGGUGAUUCCAGUGACAUAACAAGUAACAAUGACUCUUGUUGGAAAGAUGUCUCAGGGAAGAAAGUUACUACAAACCCAGCUAUAAGAAGGAUACCUCUGUCUGUUAGAAAGACAUCUCAGAAUUAUGUCCAAGACCCUCAACGUUGCAAAGAUGAUGAUUGGCAUAUUGAAAUUUCUGUUUCAGAGAAACAUAAUGUUUCUUUACCAGACCUUCAGAAUGAAGAAUCUGAAGGGAGCACUAUCACCAAGACAUUGGAUAGAAUGAUGCCGGACACUACAAGUACACAAGAUAUAGGGUAUGAUUUUGUCCCAGUGGAUGACAAACAAGAGUGUUCUUCGGUGUCUAACCUUCUUAGUGACAACUUUGGGUCCAAGUUUGUAACUGUUUCUCAUGACCAUAUAGCUGAGGGACAUUGGCAGAAGUCUAUGGGACGAAGCCAGCGGUUUGCAGGUGAAGAAGUUAGUAAUGAAGAAGAUGGUGUGUGCUCUGGAAAAAUUAGGGACCGCAGAAGUCUUGAUUCAGCAGUCAAUGAAUCAAGUCCGGAAACCGUUUCAAUGUGUUGUUCAUGGAUUGAGAAUAAAAUUGUUGGCAUUCAGAAACAGCUUUCGGAGAUUGACAGCAAGCAGUCCAGCAUGAUGGAUCUUCUCCAGGUGUUUUCAACUGGUAUAAUGGAUAGCAUGUCCAUGCUACAGUCAAAGGUCUUAAGUUUAGAACAUGUAGUAGAUCGUAUGGUGCAAGACCUUAUGCAGGGAGGGAAGCAUCCUGGUUUGGUGAAUUCCAGACUUGAGAAGCAGGGUGAAGGUGCUUCUUCCAGACUGUCUUCGUGCACUCCAAGGGCUUCCGUAGAUAUUUGUAACAGACAAUCUUCUUUGCUGUCAGUGAAGAAUUCUGAUGUUUGGGAGGAAAAAACACUUGGUAGAAAUAGGUCACCCAAUUGUGCAAAGCAGGGCAUGGAGAUAUGGACUAAUCAUACUGUAAAAUUUUGUAGAAAUCCAACAGGGAAGGAAGUGCACAAAAGCUCUGGGCAUGGGGGACAAGGCAUUGGCCAGAUCAGAAAAAAUGAAGCUGCCUCUACUUGUUCUUCCAUUCCAAAUGUGAGUGGCAGACAGAAGUAUCCAGACAACAAAGAUGGUCUGUGGCAACAUGUGAAAAGUCUUCUAUGCCAAGGGGACCUAGACUCUGCGUAUGCAAAAGCUCUAUCUUCUGGAGAUGAAAUUGUCCUCAUUGAGCUUCUUGAUAGAACUGGUCCUGUUCUAGAAAGUCUCUCCCAAAAGACUGUCUACAAUAUUCUCAGUACUUUGGCAUCAUACCUCUUGGAACAGAGGUUUAUGAACUGUAUUAUCCCAUGGUUGCAGCAGGUGGUUGAUUUGAGUGCUAUACAUGGACCAAAUCUCCUUAUUCCCUCUGCUAAAGUAAGAAGGGAGAUUUUAUCUGCAAUACAGGAGGCCAUGAACAUGGAAUUUUCUAACCCUGCCGAAAGAAGAUCAGUUACAUCACUGGCAAUAAGGUUCCACCAAGAAUGGGGGAAAUGCUCAUAGUUAUGAAAUCGUUGGACAAAAAUUCUGCUCUGGUUCGGAUCAUCGGAAGAACAGCACUAAGCGGCAUAUGCUUUGUCCCUUGUCCCGAUUGUUUUUGCUGUAUAAAGGUCCAUCUUUACGAAGUAUUCUAUAAUUCGUCUGUUCAGGAUGUAUGCCCUGGAAACUGAUCACUAAAUCAAGUGAUACAAAGGUCCGUUUGCCGGUGGCCGAUGAACCCAAAUUUCACCCGAAAGGUUUUGACGGCCUCCUAAUCACGAAUCCAAACUCAGAUUUUUCAAGAAAAAAAAGGUUCCCGAAUGGCUUAAACCCGAAGCCCAAAGAUUGAAUCCCAGUCAUUGGAUUGAGGCCGAACUUGAUAAUAAGCCACUUUGCUAGUGAAAACAUAGGUGAGUAAAUUGGAAAAUAGUUCUUUUUUAUGGGGGGUGUGGGGAUUUGGU